ACAAACAAUGUUUGCGAAUAGUGAACAUUAAAUUAAUGAAUUAAAGUACAAAAUGAUAAAAAGUAAUAACUUGAUACGCUUAAUCUUUACAGGCUCCCCCGGACAGCAGGCCAACAUCAGAGACGGACACAAAGAAGAGCCUCCCUCGACGUGAAGAGCCGCAUCAGGAGUCAGCCAUGGAUGAACAGGAGUACCCAGACUCGCGCAGAACGACGCAGGGGCGGAGCACCAGAGAUCCAAUAAUAGCAGGAAUGCAUCUGGAACAGUCCGCAGCGCCGCCUCAUACAGGAGUCGUCGCGUUGUGAGGCAGUAGCAAAGCCACUGCAGGUAAUAGGCAGACACCUCGAUAAAUAUUAGCGAGAGUUCGCAGUGUUAACGGCAGGCGGCAGAAAUCGCGCUGGAUAUUAUUUUAAUGUUUUAGUAU